GAACUUAAACCCAUCACAAAUAUUUGAAGAUGGAUCAAACCCACCCAAAAUUGCCAUCAUUCACCAUCACAGUUACCCGUGAAACUAUGAUGAUAUUCUCCGAUUUUAACAUCCGGCGAAUCACUCCCACUUUCUCUCUCCAAGUCUCCUGGUAAUCUGGGUCCAUGAAUCGGUAAUCUGCUACUCCAUACUAUGAUACUACCCUUGCAGAGUUGCAUAUACUCAAUGUCAAGCCACAUUAUUUGAGGCUUUAUUAUUAUUUGGCGUAUCAUGAUUGAUUAUGAACUAGGAGAAGCAGAUUUGGACGUGGCAAGGAGCAGAUUGAUCACGUUAGAGGGUAGAGGAUGAAGAAAAUGCAAGCGCGAAGAUUGAAUAAAAAGAUGUUUCACGUCUAAGCACUUAUCUGUAGGCCGUGCAAUCGUGCAUGUAGUAGGGAUUAAUCUAUCGUGUUCCCUAGUAGGGAACACGAUAGAUUCUGAAAACAUCAAGCAUUUACUCCGAAACGACGGUUUUUUUUUCAUUUUAUAAUUCUAGUUUUUAAUUAUUUGUCUACCAUAUUUGUUUAUCAGAUGUUCAUCCCAAUGCACGAAGGAGAGCAUUGAUUCCUAUUGGUGAUUCACUUUGGCGACAAGAAAUGUUGCAUCCUCUGGAGGGGGAGGUGUCCGCUAAGCGCCAUGCAAAAGAUGUAAAUUUGGUAAGUAAACCAAAUAAUGUUUGGACUUAUAAUCCAAUGUUUUACUUACUUGAAUUGUGAUUAAAUAUAUGCAUAUUUUUGUUAUUCUGAAGCCUUUUAGACCUCGGACUCAAUGUCCGUUACAGUCUUGAAUGCUCCAUACCCUUUGUUAACCAAUUUCUUCACAGCAAGAUCAACUACCGUAUCACCCUUUCUUUAACUAAUGUCUGAUUUUAUGUCUGAUUUUUUUUCGGCGAAACUUGAAGUAAGAAUUAGGAGGAGUUGGGGUGUGCAGGUAAUGCAAGGCCGGAUUUGUGGUUUGGGAGUGGAAACUUGAAAGACCGAGAGAUUAUAUAAAGGAAGAUUUUGCAAUAGCUAUAAUAAAAUGGUAGCCAUCAUAAUAAAAAAAUGUAGAUAAUCCGUGCAGGCGUGAUAUGACCAAAGCACCCAUCUUCUCUGAGUUAUUUUACUUUUGUACUCAAGUGAACUGCCGUGUGUUAUUAUAUGUAUAACAAUUAAUUAUUUCUGAUAAAAAAAAGUAGUGUUUCUUUAUUGUAUUAACAAUAAUUUUGAAAAGAGAUCGUGUAUUAUGACAUAUUACCUUCGUAUUUUUAUUAGGAGUCACACUUAUCAUUUUUUA